GCCCGGCCGCGCCCGGUGCAUUGUGGGAGCGGCCCGCGGCCCGUUUUCGGGAGGAGGCGGAGGGCGCAAAGCGAGCCGGUGGAUCCAUAAAGAACCCAGCCAACCCGCAGAGGGAGGGGAGGGGCUGAGCUGUGAGGAGAGCGGGGCCCAAGAACCAUGUCUACGCGGGAGUCCUUUAACCCGGAAAGUUACGAAUUGGACAAAAGCUUCCGGCUAACCAGAUUCACUGAACUGAAGGGCACAGGCUGCAAAGUGCCCCAAGAUGUCCUGCAAAAAUUGCUGGAAUCUUUACAGGAGAACCACUUCCAAGAAGAUGAGCAGUUUCUGGGAGCCGUUAUGCCAAGGCUUGCACCUGUUUGUCAGAUGCGCAGCCACCCCCUGUGUCUAGUGUCAACCACAUUGGACAGCACCAGACCCUAUUCUAGUAGACUGUGGUGGCACAGGUGUGAAAGAGAAACCGUGGAUAACGGAGCUGCUUUUCAGCCCUAGGGGCGUGCUCAAGAAUCCCCCGUUACUCUGAUCAAAGGACUUGCUAAGUUUAGAAAUAAAGCGCUUUACAAAUCAAAUGCAUUGGAAUGGAUACUUGUGUCAUUCCUUUGAGGCACGGUGGGCUUUCCUUGGUUCAAACCACAGAUUACAUUUACCCGAUCGUAGACGACCCUUACAUGAUGGGCAGGAUAGCGUGUGCCAAUGUCCUCAGUGACCUCUAUGCAAUGGGGGUCACGGAAUGUGACAAUAUGCUGAUGCUCCUUGGAGUCAGUAAUAAAAUGACCGACAGGGAAAGGGAUAAAGUGAUGCCUCUGAUUAUCCAAGGUUUUAAAGACGCAGCUGAGGAAGCAGGAACAUCUGU
rnacentral:lncRNA from 10 species